rnacentral:rRNA from 1 species
UUGAACUACAAGAAUUGUGCAGUCUUGAAGGUGGUUAAAGGUGAAGUUUCUGCUUCAGAUCUACUGGUUCAAUUGAAUGAAAUAUUCUGCAAAAACAAAGAUUGGCCGUGGCAGAUCAGAGAACUGGAGGAGAAGAAGUUUUUGCUGAGAUUCCCUCCUUGGAAGAAUGUGGAUGAUCUAAUUGAAUUUCCUGCUUUCGAUCUUCCCAUUGAUGGUGUCUCAGUGAAAAUAUGUGAGUGGAAAGGGAUGUUGGAUGAAUUUGGUGAACUAAAAGAAGCCUGGGUGCAAGUUGAGGGGAUUCCUCCCAAGUGGUGUGCUUGGAAAGUCUUUGCUCAGAUUGCAAGUUGCUUUGGCAUCCUUGUGGAUGUGGACUAGAAUGGGAUUUUUAAGAGUUUUUAUGAGAUCAUCGGAAUUAAAGUGACAUGUAGAGACCCUCGCAAGAUCCCUUUUGAGAGACUGGUGGAAAUGAAAAAGAAACUCUACCUGCUAUUUUUCACUGUAGAAGGCUUUGAA